rnacentral:rRNA from 1 species
GACGAACGCUGGCGGCGUGCCUAAUACAUGCAAGUCGAGCGCAGCGGCGGAUGGGUGAGUCACGCGUGGGUAACCUGCCCUUAAGUCUGGGCUACCAUUUGGAAACAGUAGCUCAUACCGGAUACUAAAGGAUGCACCUGCCAUGCAUUAGCUAGUUGGUAAGGGAAUGGCUUACCAAGGCGAUGAUGAAUGGCCGGGUUGGCUGACUGAUGGGCCACAUUGGGACGGAGACACGGCCCAAACUCCUACGGGAGGCAGCAGUAAGGAGUCUUCCACAAGGGACGAAAGUCUGAUGGAGCGAGGCCGCGUGCGUGAGGAAGGUUUGCGGAUGGUAAAGCUCUGUUGUUGGUGAAGCGGUAAGCAACCAGAAAGUCACCGAUAACUACGUGCCAGCACCGCCGGUAAUAC